rnacentral:rRNA from 1 species
CCUACGGGCGGCAGCAGUGGGGGAUAUUGCACAAUGGGGGAAACCCUGAUGCAGCGAAGCCGCGUGAGUGAAGAAGUAUUUCGGUAUGUAAAGCUCUAUCAGCAGGGAAGAAAAUGACAGUACCUGACCAAGAAGCCCCUGCUAACUACGUGCCAGCAGCCGUGGUACUACGUAGGGGGCAAGCGUUAUCCGGAUUUACUGGGUGUAAAGGGAGCGUAGUGGGUUAUGUAAGUCUGGAGUGAAAGCCCGGGGCCCAACCCCCGGACUGCUUUGGAAACCGGGUAACUGGAGUACAGGAGGGGCAGGCGGAAUGCCUGGUGUAGCGGUGAAAUGCGUAGAUAUCAGGAAGAACACCGGCGGCGAAGGCGGCCUGCUGGACUGAAACUGACGUUGAGGCUCGAAAGCGUGGGGAGCAAACAGGAUUAGAUACCCUUGUAGUC